UCCCAAGAAGUGAGAUCCACUUUAGAGCUUUUGCCACUAAAGUAGUUGAAGUGGCUACCAUAUAAAUACUGACUUUCACCCGACUUCUCCAACUGGUUGGAAGUCCGGACCAUGGAAGUGGGGAUGCAUCUAUUCUUUCUCCCUCAUCUUCUCCAUCCACCAUUGACACCAUCGUCGCUGUCGUCGUAGCCAUUGAUGUCAAGACCUUCAUCGCCGUCGAUGUCGACGGUCGACACCAUCGUCAAGAGAUCAUGAUGUUAGAUAAGGCCGCGGAUUAAAGCGCAGAUCGUGAGAUCACAGAGGAAGCCAGCCAUGGACGAGGCCCCAAUCCUCUUCCUCUACCGAUAUGCACCACAUGUCGAGGUGAUCCUCGAUGAUUUUGAGCACUUCGCCAUCAAUCAGCUUCUAGUUUGCAAGAAGGAGGGUUAGAUCUCAGUGAUUUUGGAUAUAUAAGGAGUUGCAACUCGUGCGUGCUUUACAGAACAAGCUUCCUACUUCUCUCUUCCUUAAUUUUCUCAUUAGUUUGCUGUCUCUCAAGAGAAUGAACAAUACCGAGUGUGCACAGGGUGAAAACGGGAAAGGAACACCAAACAAAAGAUGGACAAAAAAAAUGGAUAAUGUCUUGAUACCAUUACUUGCAGACAUGGCAAGAAGUGUCCUGAAAUUUGACAAAUCUUUCAAACGUCAAGUAUUUGUAGAUGUAGCGAAUGUCAUGAAUAGUAGGUUCCAUGCCGCUUGCAUUGAUGCUGAUAAUGUGGAGAAUCACAUGCGCACUCUGAAACAAAAAAUAUUAAGACAUUAAACAAGUUUAUGAACCUCAGCAAUGUUGGAUGGAAUAACACAGAAAAGAAAUUAGUGCUAGAAGAUGAGACCUAUCGAACAUAGGUGGAGGCUUACGACAGUGCUUAAAGAUGAGAGAGAGCCAAUUGAAGCAUUUCAGGCAUUAAACGAUGAAGUCGGAGCUCUCUCGGCAUCAGUAGAACAAGGACAAGACAAACUUUGUGGCUCACAUCUAGCUUACGGUCGUUCUUACGGCCGUAAGUCAAUUUCAGAAAACCAUGCGGGCAUGCUUAUGCAUGUAAAGGGAAUUUAGAGCCAAUUCAAAGGAUUUUACGGGCAAGGCUUACGCCCGUAAGGACCAUCCAGAUGAGCUUACGAUCACAGCAUACGCCCGUAAGGGUGGUUGCAAAGAGCAAAACAGUGAAUGUUACGGUCCGGCGCUUACAGCCGUAAGCUGGACCGCAACACAAACAAAAGACCUUACAGACGAGGCUUACUAUCGUAAGUGUUCCUUUAAGGCUCACGACCAUCUUCUCUAGCUCCCUUACGAUCUAGCCCUUACACCCGUAAGUAGUUAUGUAUAAAUAGAACUUAUGAGGAUCUUUUGGGCAUUCUCUUUUCUAACUUUCUAUUCUUUGGGAGUGAUUCUUGGAGACGAGGUUGAGGAAAAAAAGUGACGAAUCUCUAGCACCUAAAAAACGAUUUGGAGAGGGAUUCAGAUCUAUAUUCAAGGGGAUAUUGAAGAUCGUAACCGUCAAGCUCAUCUUGGCUGCGUGUGUGGAGACUUCUCCGGCGAUUCUUCAUCCUAGGGAUUGAAAAGGGGAUUUCAUGGCUUUCAUGUUUUCUUCUAUUAUUUAUAUCUUGAAUGCUUGCCCUCCAGGAGGGCUAAUUGGUAGAUGUUUGGCCAUAGUUGAACUUUAGAGUUUAUUUUCUUGACUUUAGUUGUUGGAUCUUUUAUGCUUAAUUGAUGAUUUCUUAUUUUUAAUCA